GACGAACGCUGGCGGCGUGCCUAAUACAUGCAAGUCGAACGCAGUUGCGAACGGGUGAGUAACGCGUCGGUAACUGCCUCAUAGCGGGGGAUAACUAUUGGAAACGAUAGCUAAUACCGCAUACUGUGCGAUGGACCUGCGUUGUAUUAGCUAGUUGGGGAGGUAAAGGCUCAACAUGGCGACGAUACAUAGCCGACCUGGGAGGGUGAUCGGCCAAACCGGGAAUGAGACACGGCCCAGAACCCUACGGGAGGGAGCAGGAGGGAAUCUUCGGCAAUGGACGGAAGGCUGACCGAGCAACGCCGGGUGAGUGAAGAAGGUUUUCGGGUCGUAAAGCUAUGUUGUGAGAGAAGCGGUAAUGAACCAGAAAGGGACGGCUAACUACGUGCCAGCAGCCGCGGUAAUAC
rnacentral:rRNA from 1 species